GAGGGAUAGUAUCAGUGAAAGGCACUCAGUGUUCAGUUAUUAAUCUCCUGCCGCCGUUGGCCCUUUCAUAAAAGGAGGUUACUGCAGGAAGUCAAAAGUGUAUCUGGGUUUUCCAUCUUCAAUCCCUGUAGAGGUCACUGUUGCUUGGCACAGCUGAAAAACAACUGAAGCUCAAAAGGAAGGAGCACACGUCCAGAUGGCAGACUCUUAACUGAGCUUGGAUUAAUGGGAGGACGGGCAAGAACUGCA